rnacentral:lncRNA from 10 species
GAACAGAACAAUAGUAUGCUCUCAAUAAAUAAGGAUGAACGCAUGAUUGAAAUAGUUUAAAAAUCAAGACCCGGAAAACUGAAGCUUAAAAAGGAAGAGAAGGACAUCAGAAAGUUGAUGGGUCAUCUCAGGCUGGCUGCAUGCCUCAGCUGAAGAUCCCAGCUCCUGUCAAUGCCACCUCUCUGCUUGACUGUCUCCUUCCAGAUUCGAGCAGGUAUGAGCUGGGAAGAAUGAAGGCAGGGCAUGCCCGUGUGCCAGCUCUGCACAGCUGGAUAGCUGAGGAAAGAUGUGGAGGAGAAGCCGGGGAUUGUGUGGAAGUCUAAGGGUGUUGUUUGCCCUUUGGGUUCCAGAAGAUGCAUGCCAGGACCCUGGGUGGCACUGCCAGGAAGCAACAGAGAGGAGAUAAAACUCACAGCAGACAGACUUGCCUUAACAACAACUCCCUUGAAUUAAAACACGCUUUUCAAGAAAA